GACGAACGCUGGCGGCGUGCUUAACACAUGCAAGUCGAACGGAAAGGCCCUGCUUUUGUGGGGUGCUCGAGUGGCGAACGGGUGAGUAACACGUGAGUAACCUGCCCUUGACUUUGGGAUAACUUCAGGAAACUGGGGCUAAUACCGGAUAGGAGCUCCUGCUGCAUGGUGGGGGUUGGAAAGUUUCGGCGGUUGGGGAUGGACUCGCGGCUUAUCAGCUUGUUGGUGGGGUAGUGGCUUACCAAGGCUUUGACGGGUAGCCGGCCUGAGAGGGUGACCGGCCACAUUGGGACUGAGAGACGGCGCAGACUCCUACGGGAGGCAGCAGUGGGGAGUAUUGCACAAUGGGCGGAAGCCUGAUGCAGCAACGCCGCGUGCGGGAUGACGGCCUUCGGGUUGUAAACCGCUUUCGCCUGUGACGAAGCGUGAGUGACGGUAAUGGGUAAAGAAGCACCGGCUAACUACGUG
rnacentral:rRNA from 1 species